rnacentral:rRNA from 1 species
AGCAGCCGCGGUAAUUCCAGCUCCAAUAGCGUAUAUUAAAGUUGUUGCAGUUAAAAAGCUCGUAGUUGAAUUUCGGGGUCAGUAGGUCGGUCNUGCCACUGGUAUGAACUGGUUUUACUGAUUCCUCCCUCUUGAAGAACUGUAAUGCCAUUAAUUUGGUGUUGCAGGGAAUCAGGACUGUUACUUUGAAAAAAUUAGAGUGUUUAAAGCAGGCUUUAGCUUGAAUACAUUAGCAUGGAAUAAUGAAAUAGGACGUUUGAUCCUAUUUUGUUGGUUUCUAGGAUUGACGUAAUGAUUAAUAGGGAUAGUUGGGGGCAUUAGUAUUCAAUUGUCAGAGGUGAAAUUCUUGGAUUUAUUGAAGACUAACUACUGCGAAAGCAUUUGCCAAGGAUGUUUUCAUUAAUCAAGAACGAAAGUUAGGGGAUCGAAGACGAUCAGAUACCGUCGUAGUCUUAACCAUAAACUAUGCCGACUAGGGAUCGGAUGAUGUUAAUUUUUUAAUG